GUGCAUCUUUGCAUCAGAAAACCCACAUUCAUGCAGAAUUAAUGGAGAAGCAAAGCACCCUUAUGAAGAAAGCACGGUUCCAGUUCAGGUUGCUUGGCCAACUUCGAGAUUCUCUCUGGUUGAGUACUUUAAGCACUGGGUGGGGGACCAGAUCUGGAGGUGGCAGUGGUGGACUUAUUCAAAGGGUGCAGUCUGCUGAGUGGCUGAAGACACUUGGACCUAGUAUGGAGUUAUAGAACACUUACUCAAGGAUUGAAGUCAAUACUUACCAGGAGGCAAGAAAACAGCUGGCGUCAAGCUCCAUUAUUAGUGUAUAAGCUGUGGGUGAAACCUACUGAACUAUUAGCUCAUGACCACUGCCUUCUUGGCUCCUUUUUGUUGUGUUUGACGUUGUUUUCUCGAAUGGUGGUAAGUUUUGGUUAACCAAAUUUUGGCCUUCACCAUUGUGACAUCAAGUAAUUCCAAGUUGAGUGCUUUGCUCAUUAAACUCUGUAGCAGCAAACUUUUCCCUCUCUGUUGUGGUAGAUGUCAUGCGCCGACCUCUGCCAUCAAGAUGAAAGUUGUCGUUUCGCUGUCCUGCACUACACAAACUCAUCAAAACUUGUUAGCUCAUGAGUAGAUAUCAUCGGCAAGACAAUUUGCUUGGCCUUUUGUAAGGAAAAUUCUUUUCAUCAAAUACCACAUGGUAUGAGAUGUACACCUUUCCGGUGGGUGGAUACAUGCAACUAUAUCCUUUAUACUAGUACCCAAUAAACACACUAGGCAGACUUUUCAGUUCAAAUGUAUUUUUGUUAUAAUCUCCAAAGAAAUGGAAAGCAUAUACA